rnacentral:rRNA from 1 species
GUCUUUUUGAAGUGUAUAUAAAGUUUAACCUGCCCAUUGAAUUUUAUUAAAAGGCUGCAGUAUUUUAACUGUACAAAGGUAGCAUAAUCAUUAGUUUUUUAAUUGGAAACUUGUAUGAAUGGUUGAAUGAAAUAUAAACUUUUUUAAAUAAAAAAAAAUUGAAUUUUACUUUUUAAUUAUAAGGUUAAAAUAUAUUUAAAAGACGAGAAGACCCUAUAGAGUUUUAUAAUUAAUUAAUAUCAUUUAAUAAAUUUUUAAAUAUUUAAUAUUUAUAUAAUUAUUUUGUUGGGGUGAUAAUAAAAUUUAAUUAACUUUUAUUUCUUUUUACAUUUAUAUAUGAUGAUUAGAUCCAUAUUUUGUGAUUUAAAAAUUAAAUUACCUUAGGGAUAACAGCGUAAUUUUUUUUUAAGUUCUUAUUAUUAAAAAAUUUUGCGACCUCGAUGUUGGAUUAAGAUUUAAUUUUAGGUGCAGCAGCUUAAGUAAUAAGUCUGUUCGACUUUUAGAUUCUU